rnacentral:rRNA from 1 species
GACGAACGCUGGCGGCGUGCUUAACACAUGCAAGUCGAACGGUGAAGCGCCUUCCUUUUUGGUGGGUGUGGAUGAGUGGCGAACGGGUGAGUAACACGUGAGUAACCUGCCCCCUUCUUCUGGAUAACCGCAUGAAAGUGUGGCUAAUACGGGAUAUUCUGGGUCUGUCGCAUGAUGGGUCUGGGAAAGAUAUUGUUUCGGUGGGGGAUGGGCUCGCGGCCUAUCAGCUUGUUGGUGGGGUGAUGGCCUACCAAGGCGGUGACGGGUAGCCGGCCUGAGAGGGUGGGCGGUCACACUGGGACUGAGACACGGCCCAGGCUCAUACGGGAGGCAGCAGUGGGGAAUAUUGCACAAUGGGCGCAAGCCUGAUGCAGCGACGCCGCGGGCGGGAUGGAGGCCUUCGGGUUGUGAACCUCUUUCGCCAGUGAAGCAGGCCUGCCUCGUUUGUGGGUGGGUUGACGGUAGCUGGAUAAGAAGCGCCGGCUAACUACGUG